AAUUCCUGCUAAAAGAUUCGCUAUUAAACGUGUAGAUAAUUUCUUGGAAUUGGCUAAUUACUAAUUAGUGAAACAUGCAAAAAGUAAAAAUAAAAACAAGGCAAUUUUAUUCGGAUAUACCAAGCUUUUAUUAGAUACCAUUGGACUUCAAUUCAACACCUCCAUUUAAUACAGUUUGAAGUUAUGUUAUAUUGGGUUAAUUGUCAUUGCCAAUUCCGUAGAGGUUCAAUUUUUUUUAG